rnacentral:rRNA from 1 species
AGUGAACGCUGGCGGCAGGCCUAACACAUGCAAGUCGAGCGGCAGCGGGUUCCCGCGAGGGGAUGCCGGCGAGCGGCGGACGGGUGAGGAACACAUCGGAAUCUGCCUGGUUGUGGGGAUAACGUAGGGAACUUACGCUAAUACCGCAUGAGACCCUGAGUCGACGGACUGGGGGUGGAAAGUGAGGGACCUCCGGGCCUCACGCGACCAGAUGAGCCGAUGUCGGAUUAGCUAGUUGGCGGGGUAACGGCCCGCCAAGGCGACGAUCCGUAGCUGGUCUGAGAGGAUGAUCAGCCACACUGGGACUGAGACACGGCCCAGACUCCUACGGGAGGCAGCAGUGGGGAAUCUUGGACAAUGGGCGCAAGCCUGAUCCAGCCAUGCCGCGU